rnacentral:lncRNA from 1 species
CCUUACCGUUGGCUAUCUUAGCUCGAUGUGCUAAUCAAGUUCCCCCUAAUUUGACAUACUAGAAUCUAAUACUAGAGGCAGCAUGACAUUAUUAUGGGGGAGGAGGUUGAGAAGCACUAACCUCGAAGUUAGAAUUUCUGGUUUGUCAUCCCAGUCUGCUAAUUAGCUUUCUGAUUUAAGACAAAAUACUUUUUCUGUGCCUUCUGGGGGUCAAAUUCGAUUUUUAAGAUUCUCUCAGUUGGAAGAAAUCUAACUAAAAAUAUACUUAAAAUAAUUCUUUGGUAGUAUAUUAUUUUGAAAUUUGGUCCAGAAUCCUAUUUGUUUAUUCCUGUAGUAUACAUACGUCUGUAGUUACCCAGUAGUCUUUGUUGUCUUUGGGCCAUCUAAAGUAUAUUUGGGCUGGGCAUGGUGUCUCACACCUGUAAUUUCAACACUUUGGAAGGCCAAGAUAGGGUCUCGCUGUGUUGCCAAGGCUGAUCUCAAACUUCUGGCCUCAAACAAACCUCCUGCCUUAACCUUCCAAAGUGCUGGGGUUAUAGAUGAGCCACUGUGCCCCGCCAUGGAGUCAUGUGAUACACAUAGUAAGCUGUCAGAUAUUUUUGAUAAGUUCAAAUAGACACCAAGUAAAAAAAGAUUCCCAUUUAUUCUCCCCAGCUUGCCAACCCCCUAAAUUAAGUAAUGAAAUGAAACCAGCACCUUUUCAGUAUAUCUGACUUAAAAUCAUUAUUUAUUCUGACCCAUUUAACUGUUUGCAGGAUUUUUUCCCUAGAGCAGACAGCUAUAGGCCUGUAUCAUUAAGGAUUCUCAAAUAAGUGAACUAUUGAAACCACAUAAAAGCCAUCAGUUGCAAAUUCUACUUCUCUUUGUUUAAGUAGCUAAAAAUGAAAGUGGUGGAAAAAACAGGAGAUAAGCAUAUUAAGUUCUCUACUAGUGCUGAAUCUUUAAAUGACUAGCUAAGCAGCGAAGAAGAAAUCAUUCUAGAAUGCAGUGCUCUGGAUCCUGCUUUGUUAUAAACAGUUAUAAUAGCAUUAAGUUAACAGUAUUUCACUUAAACAGCUGGACAGGUGGAGAAAACAUUGUUUCAGGAGUUAGGCUUUGUAAUCUUAGACUUGAGGGUUUUCUCAAUUUCUCUUUGUUUAUGAUAAAGAAAAACCCUAUUACUACUCCCUUUGUUUUUGGUUAAAAACUGAAAAUAACUGAUUUUGAAAUCAAAUAAACCAGUGUAAUAUAAAGCCA